rnacentral:tRNA from 1 species
GCCUGGGUGGCUCAGUCGGUUGAGCGUCCGACUUCAGCUCAGGUCACGAGCUCGCGGUCCGUGAGUUCGAGCCCCGCGUCAGGCU